rnacentral:lncRNA from 1 species
GUGAUCUCUGAUGACAAAACAAAGGUAGGGUCGUGCCUAACACUGGUAAGGAGAAAACUGUGUCGAGUUAGUUAAUAAUUAAUUUACAUGUCAAGUUACAAGUUUUCUAUCCUAAAAUCCAAAAAAAGCAACAGCUCUUUUUUUUCCUCCAGUCAUUAAAUCACCCAUUCAACAAACUUUCACCAGGCUCAUGGUUUGUCAGCUAUAGAAGAGAAAGGAGGGCGAAACCUGUGGUUAAGGCUUGCCUGAAGGAUCUCACAUUUGGGUUGGGGGCUGACAUGCCAGUGAACAAAUAGCCUCCUCAGGACUAUGAUAGAGAAUUACCCAAACUUCCUGUUGCUACUGAAACUGAAGCAAGAGAAGCAAGGGAAAUUGAAACUGAAAAUGUGAACCAGCGACUUUACCCAGAAGCACAGUUGAUGGCAUCAAUGAGAUCAAUUUUUUAAUGAAAUUAAAGAAAGUAGAGGUUUCAGCUGACACUGUUUUUCUCCAGACUCUCUACUAUGCGGCAGGAUGGUAGUUGUUUCCUCUCAACGGAGCUAAAAAUUAACUUCAUCCUAUGGCAUGAUGUAUUAAAAUCAGGAGUGUUUGGCCCGGCGUGGUGGCUCACGCGUGUAAUCCCAGCACUUUGGGAGGCCGAGGUGGGCGGCUCACGAGGUCAGGAUAUCACGACCAUCCUGGCUAACACGGUGAAACCCCGUCUCUACUAAGAAUACAAAAAAAAAAAAAAAAAAUUAGCCGGGCGCGGUGGCGGGCGCCUGUAGUCCCAGCUACUCAGGAGGCUGAAGGAGGAGAAUGCUGCGAACCUGGGAGGCGGAGCUUGCAGUGAGCCGAGAUCGCGCGACUGUGCUCCAACCUGGGCGACAGAGC